UGAGGGAAAGGCGAAAAGAACCCCGGCGAGGGGAGUGAAAAAGAACCUGAAACCGUGUACGUACAAGCAGUGGGAGCCCCACCACUAAGCCAGUGGUGAACUCCACAUACGCAUCCUUUGCUGAGGAUACGGUUAACGGAGCGCAAGCGACGUUCAACCGCAAAAGAAGCAGAGGGGGCUUAGUGGUGGGGUGACUGCGUACCUUUUGUAUAAUGGGUCAGCGACUUAUAUUCUGUAGCAAGGUUAACCGUAUAGGGGAGCCGGAGGGAAACCGAGUCUUAAUUGGGCGUUAAGUUGCAGGGUAUAGACCCGAAACCCGGUGAUCUAGCCAUGGGCAGGUU
rnacentral:rRNA from 1 species